GGGCCCGCACAAGCAGCGGAGCGUGUGGUUUAAUUCGAUGUUACACGAAGAACCUUACCAGGGUUUGACAUGCAAGUGGUAGGAAGCCGAAAGGUGACCGACCCUUCGGGAGCUUGCACAGGUGCUGCAUGGCUGUCGUCAGCUCGUGUCGUGAGAUGUUCGGUUAAGUCCGCUAACGAGCGCAACCCUCGCUGUGUGUUAUAUGUGUCACACGGGACUGCCGGUCUUAAGCCGGAGGAAGGUGGGGAUGAUGUCAAGUCAGCAUGGCCUUUAUAUCCUGGGCUACACACACGCUACAAUGGCCAGCACAGUAGGUUGCUAAGCCGCGAGGUGGAGCCAAUCCAUAAAGCUGGUCUCAGUUCAGAUUGCAGGCUGCAACCCGCCUGCAUGAAGAUGGAGUUGCUAGUAACCGCAGGUCAGCUAUACUGCGGUGAAUACGUUCCCGGGGCUU
rnacentral:rRNA from 1 species